CUCUUCCUCCUCAACAAAAUAUCAUAACUAUGACCAGGAUGCCGAAAAACAACAUUUGGAUUCAAAACUCAUCAACUACAACAAGGCGUUUAUUAGAAGGUGAACGUUGAAAUCAAACAACUACAAUUUGGGAAUACAAACACCAAUUACGGAAAUUCUUCAACACAAUGACUUUUGAACCAUCAUUUUUUUUACAAGUGA